rnacentral:tRNA from 1 species
AUUUAUAUAAUAUAUCUAGUAUAUUUGACUUCCAAUCAAAAAGUUUAAAAAAUUAAUUUAAUAUAAACA